rnacentral:rRNA from 1 species
GAUGAACGCUGGCGGCGUGCCUAACACAUGCAAGUCGAGCGAUUCUCUUCGGAGAAGAGCGGCGGACGGGUGAGUAACGCGUGGGUAACCUGCCCUGUACACACGGAUAACAUACCGAAAGGUAUGCUAAUACGAGAUAAUAUGCUUUUAUCGCAUGGUAGAAGUAUCAAAGCUCCGGCGGUACAGGAUGGACCCGCGUCUGAUUAGCUAGUUGGUAAGGUAACGGCUUACCAAGGCGACGAUCAGUAGCCGACCUGAGAGGGUGAUCGGCCACAUGGGAACUGAGACACGGUCCACACUCCUACGGGAGGCAGCAGUGGGGAAUAUUGCACAAUGGGCGAAAGCCUGAUGCAGCAACGCCGCGUGAGCGAUGAAGGCCUUCGGGUCGUAAAGCUCUGUCCUCAAGGAAGAUAAUGACGGUACUUGAGGAGGAAGCCCCGGCUAACUACGUGCCAGCCGCCGCCGUAA